UUUAAAAAAAAAAAGUGCUGAAUAGGAGAGACCACAAUCAAUUAAUUAAGUCUUGAGAUUUCGUUUUAGAUAAGUUUAACAAAUAUGGGCAGCAACAUUCCAAUAUAUUUAAAGGCUAUACGUACAGAUUUCCUCUCUUCUUAAUUGAAGUUUCUUAGGAGCUACAAAGGCAGCAACAAUGAUCCUUAACGAAAUAUGAAGAACAAACAUACGGGUUUUACUCACCUUUUCGAUCCGUUCCGUUUUGCCGUGUUGUUGACUCCGAGCUUUCAAGUAAGAAGAAGAUUAUUAUUUUUUUUUGCCAUAUUAGGCUAAAAGAGCGACGAGACGAACGGGUUACGAAUAGCCGCUAACAGGUACAGACGACAGGUUUGCUGAUCCGCCCGCUUACGACUUUAUUCUGUUAUUUUGGAGCGCUCCUUUAUCCGGAGCCUAUAUUUUUGUACAGUCUUCUGCUAUUGUAUAUAUGUACGCUAUUCAGGGGUACGACGGGGCCCUGUCCCGUCUUAUGAUUCUGUUAUGUUCUGUAGAGGUCUGUAGACAUACUUGUGUGGGUUCUGUAUAUGUUUUGGGUUGUUAUGAUCGGUGAUGGCCUUAUCGGCCUCUACGUGCAAAAUCUGUUCAUCUGUGAUAUUUAGUAGCGCCAACUAACCUUUAUAUUAAUAUAUUUUGAUAA